ACUUAACCUUUAUAUUGAUGAUUUCGAAAUAUGUAAUGCCAUUGGGACAUCACGACGAAAACAUAAAAUCUGUGCCAUCUAUUGGACUUUAGGUAAUCUGUCCCCCGGUUGUCAAUCUUCACUGUCAUCGAUACAGUUGGCUCUUCUAGUCAGAAGUAAUGAUUUGAAGGUGUAUGGCUAUGAAGCAGUACUCGAGCCUCUCAUUUGUGAUUUAAUUUCCUUGGAACAGCAUGGUGUGUUUUUGCCAAAGUUAGGGAAAUCUGUUAAGGGAACCGUACAGUGUGUUAUAGCCGACAAUCUUGGAGCCCACAGCAUCGCUGGAUUUCUUGAAAGUUUUUCAGGUGGUCAUGUAUGCCGAUUUUGUACAGCUUCCAAAUCAGAAAUUCAAACUAAGCAAGUAGACAGUGGAGCUUUUACAUCAAGAACAGAAUCCCUUCACGCAGACCAUCUCAAAACCAUAGAGGAACAAUCUCUGAAAAAUUUCUGUGGUGUCAAGAGGAGAUGUGUCCUUUCUGAGAAACUCAGUCAUUUCAAAGUUACUGCCGGUUUCCCUCCAGAUCUGGUCCAUGAUUUAUUUGAAGGGAUUGUUCCUGCAGAGAUAGCUUUAUGUCUGUCCAUCUUCACAUCUAAGAAAUACUUUACACUUGCAUAUUUCAACGAGUCUAUACUACAUUUCCCCUUUAAGUGGAUUGACAAAGUUAAUUGUCCCCAUCCAGUGCCAUUGACCUUUGCAUCUCGAAAGGCAAUAGGUGGCAAUUCCCACGAGAACUGGUGUUUGUUAAGGUUUUUCCCCUUCCUUGUUGGCCAGAAGGUGCCUGUUGAAGAACCUGCAUGGAAAAUACUGACUGAUCUAAAGGAUAUUGUGGACCUUGUUGUCUCACCUGUUCAUACAGAGGAAUCGAUUGCAUAUUUGAAUUUCAAGAUCUCAGAGCACAGAGUACGACUUCAAGAGGUUUUCCCAGACUACAACCUGCUGCCUAAGCAUCAUUAUUUGGAACACUAUCCUCAACUUAUUCGUAAAUUUGGAUCAUUAGUCUGUCUUUGGACAUUGAGAUUUGAAGCAAAGCACAGUUUUUUUAAGAGAGUUGUUCGAUAUACAAGAUCUUUCAAGAAUGUGUUGUUGUCUUUGGCAGAGCGACACCAAUUUCACAUGGCACAGCAGGUAUUAAUGUACUCUCAAAAACGUCUUCUGGAAGUGUCAAAUGUUUCAACUCUUUCUGUUGAUGUGUUGAAAGAGGAGAUCGCACAAGCUAUACGGCUGAAACACCCGACCGUGGACAAUGUGUGUCUGGCAAAGAAUGUCACUUACGAUGGAUUCAACUACAGAACUGGAAUGAUCCUUGCACAUGGAUCUUUGGCAGAGAUCCCUGAAUUCACAGAAAUCAUCCACAUGUUGGUUCUGAAGGACAAUCUUUUUUUCAUUGUUCGGAAGCUGAGUGCGUGGCACUUGGAACACUUCAGGGCCUUUAAACUUGAAGUGAGCUCCACCAAAGACGUAAUACUUGUGGCGCCAGAUGAACUGACUGAUCCAUAUCCGCUGGUGGAUUACACUGUGGGAGGAGUGCGUUUGAUUACCCUGAAGAGAUAUAUUCAAGUUUAAGACAUCCAGGACGUUUUUGACGCCAGCCUGCACUUCAUCGGUGGCCUGGGCAUCACCAUCUACAUUCACCUUCCUUCAACACAUCCAGGUGGUAUUGAAGCAGCUUUCUGGACCCUCACGCCGAGACGCAACUUGAUCGGUCAAUAUGGCAAAUCC